AUUCUAUAAAUAGGCUGGAUCUAUAUUUUCCUAAUUCAAUUUGCAUUGAUGCUUAUAGGUCUUGGUGCUACAAUCAAUGUUGCAAAACAAAAACCAGGCUCUUCUGUUGCUAUCUUUGGACUUGGAGCUGUUGGCCUUGCAGUGAAAAGAGGGGCAAGGAUCUUUGGUGCUUCUUGAAUUAUUGGAGUUGAUUUAGUUUCCAGUCGAUUUGAAUUAGCUAAGAAGUUUGGGGUAAAUGAGUUUGUAAACCCAAAAGAGCCUGACAAACCUGUGCAACAGGUAAUUGCUGAAAUGACAAAUGGAGGUGUAGAUCGAGCUGUUGAAUGUACCGGUAGCAUCCAGGCCAUGAUAUAUAUAUCGAAGAAGAUUUUCUGGAAAUGGAGAAUGGGCGAAUCGUAAGUAAUGGAGAGGACGAUAUGAUGACAACAGUUAAAUGGCCAAUUCUUAUUUGGAAGAGCACAAUAAUCAAGAACAUACCAUAAGUACCAAUAUUCCAACUCUAUCCAAGGAAAAACUUGUAUUUGUUUGGUUAUAUUGAUGCUAACACAAAUAAACUGCGUCUUUAUCAAUUUGUUUCAGGGCUUGCUUUGGUGUUUUGAGAUUUGUCAUGGAGAGUGGUGCCAAGGGAUUGCUAGGUUUGUGAUAAAUAUACAACUUUGAGCUCUUGUUUGUUAUGUUGCUUUCUUUAAUGACUAUUUGUUUUUAUUUUUGUUUCGUUUGAGCAUGUCAUUAUCAGUGGAAAAAUAAUAGCUCAGAGUUCUAAAUCCAUGAAGUUCAAAGAUGGUUACAUGAUUUAUUCUCGACUUCCAGUCAAAUACUACAUUGACUUUUCAGUAACUUUGUUACUUUGUUUGUAGACCAUAAAAUACUCACUUUUGCAGCCUGAAAUAAGAGCAACAACAAUAACUUUGAACAUGUCAAAUUUCACAGCUUUGGAGUUGUUAAAGCUCUGCCCAAGAGAUUUUAUUAGCCUUAAAAUUGAAGAAAUGUUAACUGAAAUAUGGGUUCAAGGGAAACAUUGAUGUUAGUGGCUAUUGUUAUCGCAAUGAUGACUUUUCACUCAACAAUAAGUCCUCCAAGAUGUGAUGCUUCUUAUAAGUGGAUUCCCCCUUAAGAAUAACAUACGUAAUGGGAGUCUUGACAAUCGCUAUGAUCGUCGCAGUCAUAUUCAUGGCACUCACAUGUGUGUUUGCAGAGGGUUUGGUAAAGGAUUUUAUCAGAAGUCAGAACUCAUCAUCAGAUUGGCUGCAUCGCGGUCCUCUAUAGCCGCAAUUCCUACUGUUAAGAUUGGGUCGAAGCAUCUUCAGUCAGAUCCAUCGUGUCUAGUAUGCCAAGAUGACUUUGAUUAGGGGACUGGUGCAAAACAAAUGAUGUGUAAGCAUAUGUUUCACCCAGAUUGUAUUGUAGCGUGGUUGGUUCAGCAUAACACCUGCCCUAUUUGCCGUGAAGAAUUGCCACCAAAGGGAUCGAGCGGUAGCCGUAACUCAAAUAGAAGCGGUGGAAGCAGAAAUCCGUUUUCCUUCUUGUGGCCUUUUGUCUCUUCUAAUUUUAGAACUAAUGAUAGAGCAAUGGAAUGAUGUUGAUUGCUCAGAGUGAAACCGUA